UACGUAGGGGGCGAGCGUUGUCCGGAUUCAUUGGGCGUAAAGGGCGCGUAGGCGGCGGGGUAAGUCGGGUGUGAAAUCUCAGAGCUCAACUCUGAAACUGCACUCGAUACUGCUCUGCUGGAGGACUGGAGAGGAGACUGGAAUUCACGGUGUAGCAGUGAAAUGCGUAGAUAUCGUGAGGAAGACCAGUGGCGAAGGCGGGUCUCUGGACAGUUCCUGACGCUGAGGCGCGAAGGCCAGGGGAGCAAACGGG
rnacentral:rRNA from 1 species